rnacentral:rRNA from 1 species
UACGGAGGAUGCAAGCGUUAUCCGGAAUGAUUGGGCGUAAAGCGUUUUAAGGUGGUUUGGUAAGUCUACUGUUAAAUAUCAGGGCUUAACCCUGAACAGGCAGUGGAAACUAGCAAGCUUGAGUACGGUAGGGGCAAAGGGAAUUCCCGGUGUAGCGGUGAAAUGGCGUAGAUAUCGGGAAGAACACCAAAGGCGAAAGC